rnacentral:rRNA from 1 species
UCGAGAAUUUUUCACAAUGGGCGAAAGCCUGAUGGAGCGACGCCGCGUGGGGGAUGAAUGGCUUCGGCCCGUAAACCCCUGUCAUUUGCGAUCAACCGUUGUUAUUUAAAAGAUGACAGCCUGAUAGUAGCGAAAGAGGAAGGGACGGCUAACUCUGUGCCAGCAGCCGCGGUAAUACAGAGGUCCCGAGCGUUGUUCGGAUUCACUGGGCGUAAAGGGUGCGUAGGUGGCGAGGUAAGUCGGAUGUGAAAGCUCUGAGCUCAACUCAGAAAUUGCAUUGGAAACUGCCCUGCUUGAGGAUUGGAGGGGGGACUGGAAUACUUGGUGUAGCAGUGAAAUGCGUAGAUAUCAAGUGGAACACCAGUGGCGAAGGCGAGUCCCUGGACAACUCCUGACACUG